rnacentral:rRNA from 1 species
UACAGAGGUCCCGAGCGUUGUUCGGAUUCACUGGGCGUAAAGGGUGCGUAGGUGGUGAGGUAAGUCGGAUGUGAAAGCUCCAAGCUCAACUUGGAAACGGCAUUGGAAACUACCUUGCUAGAGGAUCGGAGGGGGGACUGGAAUACUUGGUGUAGCAGUGAAAUGCGUAGAUAUCAAGUGGAACACCAGUGGCGAAGGCGAGUCCCUGGACGAUUCCUGACGCUGAGGCACGAAAGCUAGGGGAGCAAACAGG